ACUAGACUAAAGACGCAUCUAUUUAGCCAGGCAUUCAUAUAAUUUUUUUAUCUUACAGUUACUGUAAAUUCGGCCUCUACUUCAUAAACGCCAGAGGAGAACUGGCCCCGACUGAGCCUGGGUUCUCCCAAGGUUUUUUUCUCCAUCCAAUCUGAUGGAGUUUUGGUUCCUUGCCACUGUCGCCUUGCUUUUGGCUUGCUUAGUUGGGGAUAUUUAAUAUUCAACAAUAUUAUUGAACUGUGUUGUACUACUUUCAUGUUAUCACUGUGAAGCUGCUUUGAUGCAAUCUGUAUUGUGAAAAGCGCUAUAUAAAUAAAUGUGACUUGACUUGA